rnacentral:rRNA from 1 species
AGCAGCCGCGGUAAUUCCAGCUCCAAUAGCGUAUAUUAAAGUUGCUGCAGUUAAAAAGCUCGUAGUUGAAUUUCGGGAUCAAUAUGUUGGUCGUGCCUUGGUACGUACUAGCUUAUUGGUUUCUCCCUUCUGACGAACCAUGAUGUCAUUAAUUUGGUGUUGUGGGGAAUCAGGACUGUUACUUUGAAAAAAUUAGAGUGUUUAAAGCAGGCUCACGCUUGAAUACAUUAGCAUGGAAUAAUGAAAUAGGACGUUUGAUUCUAUUUUGUUGGUUUCUAGGAUCGACGUAAUGAUUAAUAGGGAUAGUUGGGGGCAUUAGUAUUCAAUUGUCAGAGGUGAAAUUCUUGGAUUUAUUGAAGACUAACUACUGCGAAAGCAUUUGCCAAGGAUGUUUUCAUUAAUCAAGAACGAAAGUUAGGGGAUCGAAGACGAUCAGAUACCGUCGUAGUCUUAACCAUAAACCUAUGCCGACUAGGGAUCGGAUGAUGUUAAUUUUUAAUGACUCAUUC